rnacentral:rRNA from 1 species
CCUACGGGAGGCAGCAGUGAGGAAUUUUCUGCAAUGGGCGAAAGCCUGACAGAGCAAUACCGCGUGAGGGAUGAAGGCCUAUGGGUUGUAAACCUCUUUUCUCAAGGAGGAAGAUCUGACGUUACUUGAGGAAUAAGCAUCGGCUAACCCUGUGCCAGCAGCCGCGGUAAUACAGGGGAUGCAAGUGUUAUCCGGAAUUAUUGGGCGUAAAGCGUCUGCAGGUUGAUAUUUAAGUCUUUUGUUAAAGCUUUGGGCUUAACCUGAAAUCGGCAAAAGAAACUAUUUAUCUUGAGUAUGGUAGAGGUAAAGGGAAUUUCAAGUGGAGCGGUGAAAUGCGUAGAUAUUUGAAAGAACACCAACAGCGAAGGCACUUUACUGGGCCAGUACUGACACUCAGAGACGAAAGCUAGGGGGGCAAACAGGAUUAGAUACCCUGGUAGUCCUAGCUGUAAACGAUGGAUACUAGAUGUUGCGUACUUUAAAGUAGGCAGUGUCGUAGCUAACGCGUUAAGUAUCCCGCCUGGGAAGUAUGCUGCAAGNGUGAACUCAAUGAUUGACGGNNGNGAGNGCCGAGACGACGACGAGGGAGGAGG